GGUUGGCAGCAGGCGCGCAAAUUGCCCAAUAGCAACACAUCGCUGAGGCAGCGAAGAGAAAUAGCAACUUCAUGCGGUUUUCCCGUGUGAAGAUUGCCAUGGACGAUAUCUAAACCUGUCGCUGAGUAUCAAUUGGUGGACAAGUCUGGUGCCAGCACCCGCGGUAAUUCCAGCACCAAUAGCGUAUAUUAAUACUGCUGCUGUUAAAAAGCUCGUAGUUGGAUCAAGAGUUGGACAGUGCAAGGUGGCCUCGUUGACUGCGUGGUUCCGAUCACAAGGAAAGCGGCGGAUCAACCCCUUGCAUCAAACUGUCCACUCUAACAGGCCGAAGCGGUGCCCUGUGAGUAAGCUCCUUCAUUGGGGCUGAAAGCGCCUUCGCAUCUACCAUAUGCAUACGGGCCGUCGGCCAAUGUUACUGUGAACAAACCAGCGUGUUCAAAGCAGGCUUUCGCCUGAACGUUCGAGCAUGGAAUAACAAGGGAUCGAUUCUCUCGGUUCUUUUUGUUGGUUUUUAACCCGAGAAGGAGUAAUUCAGGUCACGGUGCCUGAGCCAGGUACCCCUUCGCCCAGGCGGAGGCCCUGGUUAGGCCGUGGCCUUACGGGACUAAUAGGGACGGACGGGGUCGUACGUACUUCCACGUCAGAGGUGAAAUUCUUAGAUCGUGGGAAGACGAACUUCUGCGAAAGCAUUCGACAAGAACGCCUUCAUUAAUCAAGAACGAGAGUGUGGGGAUCGAAGAUGAUCAGAUACCGUCGUAGUCCACUACUGUAAACAAUGCCGUCUCAGGAUCGAGAGAUGAACCGAAUGACUCUCACGGCACUAACCCCUGAAACGAGAAAUCAAAGAUUAUGGGUUCAGGGGGGAGUACAUUCGCAAGGCUGAAACUUAAAGGAAUUGACGGAAUGACACCACCAGGCGUGGAGUAUGCGGCUUAAUUUGA
rnacentral:rRNA from 1 species